UACGGGGGGGGCAAGCGUUGUUCGGAAUUACUGGGCGUAAAGGGCGCGUAGGCGGUUCGCUAAGUUGGAUGUGAAAACUCUGGGCUCAACCCAGAGCCUGCAUCCAAAACUGGCGGGCUAGAGUUCUGGAGGGGGUAGCGGAAUUCCUGGUGUAGCGGUGAAAUGCGUAGAUAUCUGGAGGAACACCGGUGGCGAAGGCGGCAUCCUGGACCAACACUGACACUGAGGAGCGAAAGCCAGGGGAGCAAACGGG
rnacentral:rRNA from 1 species